UUUUGCAUUACAGUAAUAAGAAUUUGGCUGAAAUGUACUUAAUUUUAUUUUUAAAAAAUUAUAAUAUUCUCACAAUGUAAAAUUUUAAAUGAAAAAUAGGCUUAAUUUUCUUUAAGCAAUAUAUUUCCUAUUUCUUUCUUUUGAUUUUGGGGUGAAAUAUGACCCGGACGUGUUAGAUUCACCCAUGAAACAGAUCUUCACUCCCUUUUGUUGCAAAAUUCCCAGGUCAAAGCAUCUUCAAGAUUCCAGUUGUUAAUGCUGGCCUGUGCUGUGAUUGUGUUGGCUGCUACUGUUAUUUACUCCUGACAUAAAAAAGGGGGGAAAUAAAGGGAGAAAAGGCUAAAGACAUUUGUGAACUUCGUCAUGUCUCUGUGAACUGCCUUACAGUGAAAAGAAUCAAAUACAGAGACUGGUUUUACUUCAGGAAUGUAUGUUUUUUUUUUUCUGCCAAAAUAUCCCUUGUUUCAAUUUGAAAUGAAUCUGGGAAUAAGCAUCAACCCAGACUAACAGUAAGCGUGUAUUUUGCCAUAAAAGGCUUCUUGAAAAAUCCUGAUAUGCUGAGAACACAGAAUAAUGACACUCGAGAUUGUUGAACAAGUAUAAUAUUUUCAUGUGUGAAGUCCCAGGGUCCAAAAUAACCCUCUUUCCUUUUUUAUUACAUGAUUCAUUAUUUUAUUCAUUCUCAAAAAUCCCCCUUUCUUGAAUGGAUAUAAUGAGGGCUUGUGUGUGUCUGUACAAGUGUGUGUGUACAAGAGACUCACUGAUAAGUGUGAUUGUGUUGAAUGAUAAUUGUUAGUGAUUGUGUGUGUGUGUUUUCCUUUCUUUUUUCUAAUAAAGUGUAAAAGAAUAAGAUAUACAUUUUUGUGAUUGAACUAUAAAGAUUAUUACCUGUAAGAUAUCAAGAAAAUGAGAAUUGUUUACUUAUGGUAUAUUUUGUCUCAGAGCACGCUGAUAAAUUAAAGCUAUAUUCAUUCGAGCCCUGGUCUCAUUGGUUUGUACACCUGUGUGUGUGUGUGUG
ensembl:lncRNA